rnacentral:misc_RNA from 1 species
GUAUAGAUUUUUAUCAUGGGCACAACAUUCUAUUGACAUACAUUGGGGUAAAUGAAGAAGCAACAUAGACCCCUGGAAAGAUAUCCCUGGGUCUACAAAAGGUGCACAGGUGGAGAUAUAAAAAUGACAAGGCGUGCACAUGCUCCCUGGAGAGCCAGCAACAACCCAUCAGGUUUAUUUCAAUAAUGAUCCUUCCGCAGGUUCACCUACGGAAA